GAUGCAUCAUCUUUCUUAGUUGGCCACUCCUUAUCACCCUCAGACGAAUGGGUUAGCUGAAGUCUCUAACCGGGAAGUGAAACGAAUACUUGAGAAGAUUGUGAAACCAUCCCGUAAGGACUGGAGUGAAAGGCUUGAGGAAGCUCUUUGGGCUUACAGGACUGCCUACAAGACCCCUAUAGGCAUGUCCCCCUUCCGGU